rnacentral:tRNA from 1 species
GGCAUAGCUCAGCUGGUUUAGAGCAUCCCGCCCUCAGGCGGGAGGGUCGCUGGUUCGAAUCCGGCUGCUCCCA